CGGGGUGCACCAGGCGCGAAAACUUUACAAUGCUGGCAACAGCGAUAAGGGGACCUCGAGUGCCAGGUUACAAAUCUGGCUGUCGUGAUGCCUAAAAAGCAUUGCAUAGCAAGGGCCGGGCAAGACCGGUGCCAGCCGCCGCGGUAACACCGGCGGCUCGAGUGGUAACCGUUAUUAUUGGGUCUAAAGGGUCUGUAGCCGGCCGGAUAAGUCUCUUGGGAAAUCCAGCAGCUCAACUGUUGGGCUUUCAGGAGAUACUGUCUGGCUCGAGGCCGGGAGAGGUGAGAGGUACUUCAGGGGUAGGGGUGAAAUCUUGUAAUCCUUGAAGGACCACCAGUGGCGAAGGCGUCUCACCAGAACGGACCUGACGGCAAGGGACGAAAGCUAGGGGCACGAACCGGAUUAGAUACCCGGGUAGUCCUAGCCGUAAACGAUACUCGCUAGGUGUCGGCCACGGUGCGACCGUUGUCGGUGCCGUAGGGAAGCCGUGAAGCGAGCCACCUGGGAAGUACGGCCGCAAGGCUGAAACUUAAAGGAAUUGGCGGGGGAGCAC
rnacentral:rRNA from 1 species